GACGAACGCUGGCGGCGUGCCUAAUACAUGCAAGUCGAACGAGAGCGACCGGUGCUUGCACUGGUCAAUCUAGUGGCGAACGGGUGAGUAACACGUGGGUAACCUGCCCAUCAGAGGGGGAUAACAUUCGGAAACGGAUGCUAAAACCGCAUAGGUCUUCGAACCGCAUGGUUUGAAGAGGAAAAGAGGCGCAAGCUUCUGCUGAUGGAUGGACCCGCGGUGCAUUAGCUAGUUGGUGAGGUAACGGCUCACCAAGGCCGUGAUGCAUAGCCGACCUGAGAGGGUGAUCGGCCACAUUGGGACUGAAACACGGCCCAAACUCCUACGGGAGGCAGCAGUAGGGAAUCUUCCGCAAUGGACGCAAGUCUGACGGAGCAACGCCGCGUGAGUGAAGAAGGUUUUCGGAUCGUAAAACUCUGUUGUUAGAGAAGAACAAGUGCUAGAGUAACUGUUAGCGCCUUGACG
rnacentral:rRNA from 1 species